rnacentral:lncRNA from 1 species
UGUGGAGCUCGUUUUGUUCAGUCUUGUCUGUGUGUGUAGUGCUUUAAGGUUUCUCUUCGACUUUGCUAUUACAAUUGAACAACUCAAAAAUGUUUACAUGUGUUUUGGAGAUUCAAUGCCACAUGCAAAGAUUGUAUGUCUCGGACUGUCUUUAUAGUUCUUUUUUCAAUAAUAUUGCAAAAUAUAUAUUUGCAUUACUUUUUUUGUAAAAUCAGUG